UACGUAGGGUGCAAGCGUUGUCCGGAAUUAUUGGGCGUAAAGAGCUCGUAGGCGGUUUGUCGCGUCGGCUGUGAAAACCCAGGGCUCAACCCUGGGCCUGCAUUCGAUACGGGCAAACUAGAGUAUGGCAGGGGAGACUGGAAUUCCUGGUGUAGCGGUGAAAUGCGCAGAUAUCAGGAGGAACACCGGUGGCGAAGGCGGGUCUCUGGGCCAAAACUGACGCUGAGGAGCGAAAGCGUGGGGAGCGAACAGG
rnacentral:rRNA from 1 species